CAGCAGCCGCGGUAAUACGAAGGGUGCAAGCGUUAAUCGGAAUUACUGGGCGUAAAGCGUGCGUAGGCGGUGAGUUAAGUCUGCUGUGAAAUCCCCGGGCUCAACCUGGGAAUGGCAGUGGAUACUGGCUCGCUAGAGUGUGUCAGAGGAUGGUGGAAUUCCGCGUGUAGCAGUGAAAUGCGUAGAUAUGCGGAGGAACACCGAUGGCGAAGGCAGCCCCCUGGGCCAACACUGACGCUCAUGCACGAAAGCGUGGGGAGCAAACAGGAUUAGAUACCCCUGUAGUCCCUGUCUCUUAUAC
rnacentral:rRNA from 1 species